rnacentral:rRNA from 1 species
GACGAACGCUGGCGGCGUGCUUAACACAUGCAAGUCGAACGGUGAAGCCCUUCGGGGUGGAUCAGUGGCGAACGGGUGAGUAACACGUGGGCAAUCUGCCCUGCACUCUGGGACAAGCCCUGGAAACGGGGUCUAAUACCGGAUAUGACCUGCUCCCGCAUGGGGGUGGGUGGAAAGCUCCGGCGGUGCAGGAUGAGCCCGCGGCCUAUCAGCUUGUUGGUGGGGUGAUGGCCUACCAAGGCGACGACGGGUAGCCGGCCUGAGAGGGCGACCGGCCACACUGGGACUGAGACACGGCCCAGACUCCUACGGGAGGCAGCAGUGGGGAAUAUUGCACAAUGGGCGCAAGCCUGAUGCAGCGACGCCGCGUUAGGGAUGACGGCCUUCGGGUUGUAAACCUCUUUCAGCAGGGAAGAAGCGCAAGUGACGGUACCUGCAGAAGAAGCACCGGCUAACUACGUGCCAGCCGCCGCAGUAAAAC